rnacentral:rRNA from 1 species
CAAUAGCGUAUAUUAAAGUUGUUGCAGUUAAAAAGCUCGUAGUUGGAUUUCGGGGUGGCCUGCCUGGUCCACCGCAAGGUGAGUACUGGUCAGCCGCCCUUCCUCUCGAAAGCCCCGACUGCUCUUCAUUGCAGUGGUCGGGUAGUUCGGGACGUUUACUUUGAAAAAAUUAGAGUGUUCAAGGCAGGCUGUCGCCUGAAUACAUUAGCAUGGAAUAAUGGAAGAGGGCCUCGGUCCUAUUUUGUUGGUUUCUAGGGCCGAAGUAAUGAUUAAGAGGGACAGUUGGGGGCAUUCGUAUUUAAUUGUCAGAGGUGAAAUUCUUGGAUUUAUGAAAGACGAACUAGUGCGAAAGCAUUUGCCAAGGAUGUUUUCAUUAA